UAUACACCCUUCUUUUUCCUCCUCGCUUUUCUCUAUCCGAACCCUCGUUCUGGAGAGAUGGUCUUCCCUCUCUCUAAACCUCUCGCCGUCAGCCGCCGGCGACGCCUCUUCCUCCGGCGACCAUUCAUGUUUGAUCACGUCUUUCUAUCAACCUCUUUCCUCUUCUCUUUCCCUACCUCUCUCUCUCUUUUGCGACUACUACCGCCACCACGACGCCUCUCGCUUGCACCGCCGCUUGCAUGCGGCAGUUGAGCCCGCCAUCGCUCUCUCCCCCUCAGUGCUCUCUCACCGUUUUUAUGGCACAUGGCGCCAGCCGCUGCUGCUGUCUGAUUUAUCUCCCUUCCUGACGCCGUCACACGGUGCGUGUGGUGGUUGCUGCGGAUGUGUGACAGCAGUUGACCAUCGUCUCCUCCUCUCUCGGCCCAGCCUUGUGCCGCCUCCAGGGAUGUCUCCGGCGAACUCGUAUCGAUUAUGCGACUACCUUCCUCAUGAGAGGUGCUAGGCCGCCAUUCCUACCGUACUGCAGGAGCACCACAGCUGGAGUAGAAUCUUAGCUUUCCAACUAUCUAAUUGUUAUAGUCGUAGGUCUUGUUUCAUGAUUCUGAGAUAACUUAUGUUGAUUAUUUUGAGAGCUAAUUGUUUGAUGGAAGAUUUGUUCUUAAUUUCUGCUCUUAAUUGAGGAAACUUCUAUAUUCCUAUAUACCUA